GUGGGGUAAUGGCCUACCAAGGCGACGACGGGUAGCCGACCUGAGAGGGUGACCGGCCACACUGGGACUGAGACACGGCCCAGACUCCUACGGGAGGCAGCAGUGGGGAAUAUUGCACAAUGGGCGAAAGCCUGAUGCAGCGACGCCGCGUGAGGGAUGACGGCCUUCGGGUUGUAAACCUCUUUCAGCAGGGACGAAGCGCAAGUGACGGUACCUGCAGAAGAAGCACCGGCUAACUACGUGCCAGCAGCCGCGGUAAUACGUAGGGUGCAAGCGUUGUCCGGAAUUACUGGGCGUAAAGAGUUCGUAGGCGGUUUGUCGCGUCGUUUGUGAAAACCAGCAGCUCAACUGCUGGCUUGCAGGCGAUACGGGCAGACUUGAGUACUGCAGGGGAGACUGGAAUUCCUGGUGUAGCGGUGAAAUGCGCAGAUAUCAGGAGGAACACCGGUGGCGAAGGCGGGUCUCUGGGCAGUAACUGACGCUGAGGAACGAAAGCGUGGGUAGCGAACAGGAUUAGAUACCCUGGAAGUCCACGCCGUAAACGGUGGGCGCUAGGUGUGGGUUCCUUCCACGGAAUCCGUGCCGUAGCUAACGCAUUAAGCG
rnacentral:rRNA from 1 species